AUUGAACGCUGGCGGCAGGCUUAACACAUGCAAGUCGAGCGGAGAUGAGGUGCUUGCACCUUAUCUUAGCGGCGGACGGGUGAGUAAUGCUUAGGAAUCUGCCUAUUAGUGGGGGACAACAUUCCGAAAGGAAUGCUAAUACCGCAUACGUCCUACGGGAGAAAGCAGGGGAUCUUCGGACCUUGCGCUAAUAGAUGAGCCUAAGUCGGAUUAGCUAGUUGGUGGGGUAAAGGCCUACCAAGGCGACGAUCUGUAGCGGGCCUGAGAGGAUGGUCCGCCACACUGGGACUGAGACACGGCCCAGACUCCUACGGGAGGCAGCAGUGGGGAAUAUUGGACAAUGGGGGGAACCCUGAUCCAGCCAUGCCGCGUGUGUGAAGAAGGCCUUAUGAUUGUAAAGCACUUUAAGCGAGGAGGAGGCUACUGAGACUAAUACUCUUGGAUAGUGGACGUUACUCGCAGAAUAAGCACCGGCUAACUCUGUGCCAGCCGCCGCGGUAA
rnacentral:rRNA from 1 species